rnacentral:lncRNA from 1 species
ACUCAUAAGAUGCUUAACCAAGGUCACAACUAAGUCUUACCUAAACAAUGGUGACCCAAAAAGAACUCUACCCUCAUAUUCUGACUCUAGUCAGAGCUCUGGUCCAUAUCCAACCGAUUCAGAUUCUAUGUCAAGAAACUUGACUUGUAUCUGACUCAAACUUAGAAGAAAGGAAAAAGAAGGGACCAAAUCCAGCCCAAACAAGGGUCAAUUCAGGUAAUGUUUUUGGGUCGGAUUGAUUUUUACCAACUCUGGUUCAUAUCAACUAGUACUAAAGCAUUUUGAGAACUAAUUCAAGUUUACAUGGAGGUUUUGAGUAUCAUCUAUGACAUAGUGUAAGCAUCAACAAGAGCAAGAAGAGGCAAUGAAAGAUAAAUGGCCAAAUCUGAAGCCUUGAUUACAAGAUUUCCUUGAGCAGGAUAAGAAUCCU